AACUGUUAUUCAGUCUAUCUACACACAGAAAAGUGUGAAGUUUUAGUCCCUCCUUGUCUCACAAUGAUAAAUACGUGAUGUUUUACAAAAGAUGAAUAAUAAAAAGAAGAAAUUCGCCAGCAAAACUGAAAGCGCAACAAAGAAAGUGAUAAACUAGAAGUAGAGGUAGAAUUGAACAUAAAUGGAGUUAUAAAAGAAAUAAAUGACCAUAAAAAUGUUGACACUGCUGUCAUUGGAGAAAUUCUAGAUAAGUAGCCAGAAGGAACUUAGUAAAAGUCUACUUAAUGGUGUAAAUAAGGAAAGUGGUUCUGACGAAAAGAAUGAAGAUGUCCUUGAGGAAGCGCUGCCAGGAAUAAACUCAGCAUUAAAAGAAUUCUCAGAGACAUUUUACAGCAUUGAAAGUGCAAAGGGUAAAAUAAUGUAAACGGAUCCAAACUUAAGAAGGAAUAUGACAAGUUGCCGAGAUAUAGAAGCGAAGCUUGCUUCCUAUCAUAAGAUAUACCAUGAGAAGAAGAGCCAGACCUUGAUUUCAUGCGAGAAGGUGGAGUAGGAGGAAGAAGAGGAGGAGAGUUAGAAGGAGGAGGAGGAAAACCUCCUGCAGGCUCGUCUGAGUAUAUUUCUAGGUGAUGGCAGAGGGGCAAGAAAGCAAGCAAAAAGAAGCACAGAAGCCCUCUCAUGGCCAAAACUGGCUUGGUGUCACUUUUACCUCAUUCUAUUGGUCAAAAAAAGUCAACAGGCUAAGCCCAGAGUCAGAGUGGGAGAGUACUGCAUGGUUACAUGACAAAGGAUGUGGAUAUGAGGAAUCGUGAAGAACUGCAUCCAUUAGAGCCAUCUGUCACAGAAGGGACUAUUGUCACUUUACUAAUUUUGUACAUGAGGAUAGGGAAGCAUGGAGAUGGUAAAUAGCUUCUUAGCUGUGGAACCAGAAAGUAAACCUGGGCCAUCUGGCCCCAGGGCCCAUGGCUGUUAAAACCACUGUGCACACUGCCUUACUCCUACCCUUCACAAUCAGGUUUCUGCUCUGACCACCUUAGAAAACAUGCCCGUCUCAGGUUACCGAUGCUCUCCUAUGGACAGAUCCAAUAGCCUUUGUUAAUUGUCCCCAUCUCUAUCCAUUCUGUAAUACUCCUGCAUGCUGCAUCCUUGGAGUUCUUUUCUCCUUUGAUUCUGCAGAACCUGUACUGUUUCGUUUCUCUUUCUGGCUUCCUCUAUCUGGCUCUCUUCACCCACUACAUAAUGCAUUCACUUCUUUUUCUUGGCAUCUCCCUUUCCAAGCACACCCACUCUCCUGGUUUCCAUUAUCUCCCUGCAGACAACUCUCAACUGGCUCUAAGAAAGCUCACUAUAAUUUUCAGCAACCUAAUUCAGUCGUUUGUCCGUCACAAAUAACAGCUCAGGAAAAUCAAAGGAUUUUCUCACUAGCAUCUUGUCAUUCCAUGUCACCUAGCGACUAUCCAGUGCUUGAUAUUCUGCUACUAGAAACUCCCUACUACAAAGAUAAUACCACUGGAAGGUAUAAAGCCACUUGACUGACCUCUCUCCAUUCACAGCAUUUAUAACUAUAAGAAAUUGCCAGUGGUUGACUCUUUCUGACCUUCGAAACUGGCAAUUUCAUGUGGUUCAGCUUAAUAGUAUUUAUUACCUUGUGCUGUAAUUAUUUUGUAUCUGUAUCUCCCAUGAGACUCAAAGCUGCUUGAUUGAGGAGAUCAUGCUUGCUUCUGCUUUGCAUCAAGUUGCCUAGUACAUGACACCCUGUAAGGAUUAGACCAAGUAGGUAUUGAAUAACUGUUUGGCGAAUUUAAAAAAUUAAAGAAACAUUUGAAAUCAAUGCACGAGAGGCUAGAGACAGAGUGCUAGGAAGGGAACAGGAUGAGGACAGGGACACCAGAGCAAAGAUAGAGUCAAAGACACAUUUCCAAAAUGGCAAUUCAUGCCUUGUGUCAGUUGUACCCACCUCACAUUCUUUAACACUUAAGGUUUUUCUGGGUAGUAAGUGCAAUACAUUCUUAUCAUAAAACAAUAUAGACAGUUCAGUAUGUAUAAAUGAGGAUAAAAUCAAAAUCACCCACAAUCUCACCACUUUGUGAUAAUAACCAUUAACUUCAAUAUUGAUGAAUUUCCUUGAAUGUUUUAUCUACAAUAUUUCUUUCAUAUAGUUGAUAUCACUCUGUAUACACAAACUUGUAUCCUUUUUCUAAAUCUUAAUAUCGUAAUAUUAGCAUUUUCUAAUGUUAGUAGAUGUACUUCUUAAAUAUUGCUUUUUAAUGAUAAAGUUUUUUUUUUAAACAAAUAAAGAUUUGUCUAUA